rnacentral:rRNA from 1 species
GACGAACGCUGGCGGCGUGCUUAACACAUGCAAGUCGAACGAUGAACCACUUCGGUGGGGAUUAGUGGCGAACGGGUGAGUAACACGUGGGCAAUCUGCCCUUCACUCUGGGACAAGCCCUGGAAACGGGGUCUAAUACCGGAUAGCACUCCCUGCGGCAUCUUGGGGGGUUGAAAGCUCCGGCGGUGAAGGAUGAGCCCGCGGCCUAUCAGCUUGUUGGUGAGGUAGUGGCUCACCAAGGCGACGACGGGUAGCCGGCCUGAGAGGGCGACCGGCCACACUGGGACUGAGACACGGCCCAGACUCCUACGGGAGGCAGCAGUGGGGAAUAUUGCACAAUGGGCGCAAGCCUGACGCAGCGACGCCGCGUGAGGGAUGACGGCCUUCGGGUUGUAAACCUCUUUCAGCAGGGAAGAAGCGCAAGUGACGGUACCUGCAGAAGAAGCGCCGGCUAACUACGUGCCAGCAGCCGCCGUAA